UACGUAGGGCGCAAGCGUUGUCCGGAAUUAUUGGGCGUAAAGAGCUCGUAGGCGGACUGUCACGUCUGCUGUGAAAAGCUAGGGCUUAACCCUGGCCUUGCAGUGGAUACGGGCAGACUAGAGGUAGGUAGGGGAGAAUGGAAUUCCCGGUGUAGCGGUGAAAUGCGCAGAUAUCAGGAGGAACACCGGUGGCGAAGGCGGGUCUCUGGGCCGAUACUGACGCUGAGGAGCGAAAGCGUGGGGAGCAAACAGG
rnacentral:rRNA from 1 species